AUACGGAGGGUGCAAGCGUUGUUCGGAUUCAUUGGGCGUAAAGAGAGCGUAGGCGGGUGGACAAGUCAGAUGUGAAAGCCCACGGCUCAACCGAGGAAGUGCAUUUGAAACUGUCGUCUUGAGUACUGGAGAGGAAAGCGGAAUUCCCGGUGUAGAGGUGAAAUUCGUAGAUAUCGGGAGGAACACCAGUGGCGAAGGCGGCUUUCUGGACAGAUACUGACGCUGAGGCUCGAAAGCGUGGGGAGCAAACAGGAGUAGAAACCCCAGUAGUCC
rnacentral:rRNA from 1 species